CCUUUAUACCCUGGCUUUUUUAUUUUUUUUAUUUCUUGUUAUAGAAAUUCUCUUUCUAUUCCUCACUCAUCUUCUUCCUCUCAACGAAAUCAGAUUCCUCCACGCCGAUCUCCCUCCACCACCAAUAAUCGCGGCGAAAUCUCCCUCUACCAGUAAACAAUCAUCAUUGUCCCUCUUCUCUAGUCAAUUUCAGGGUGGGUAAGGAAGAACAACCAUCUGCAGAACCCCCAUUCUUUGUUACCUAUCGCGAACCAGCAACAUAAGUUCACAUGCGGCUAAGCAUGCACAUGCAUCAGAUAUGCAGUCACUACUAGAUGAUGAUGCUUGAACACAAUGACAGCGGGAUGUAGGUCAGGAUGACGUAGGGCCGCAAGACGCAUGUGAUCAAAGAGAUUCACCUGAUGUAGCCGACUCCAAGUUAUCAUAUGAUAUGAUUAGCUUGAAGCAACUAAUUUGCAAAUGGUGUCUGCUUGACAUGGAUUAUCUGAAACAACACUCGUUCAACAAGCUUAAAUGGGCAGUAAAAACAUUGAGAAGUUGAAGUUCAAGUUGUCUAAUGAGAGGAAGAAAAUGAGUUGGCUUAUCAUGAGAAUUUUUUAUUGCAUAUUUAAUUACUUAGUAUUUAGGGGGAAACUUAUGGAUUUUACUUGUAAUGUCAUGUACUUGAAAUAAUGUUAUAUGUUACUCUUGUUUUCUGUUUUGAUUGUUUUUUAACAACUAUGUAAGGUUGAACAUGAUAGUAUUUGUAUCAUAUUGUGUGAGCGAUGUAACUUGGUGUGAUGCACAAA